rnacentral:rRNA from 1 species
UACGUAGGGUGCAAGCGUUAAUCGGAAUUACUGGGCGUAAAGCGNGCGUAGGCGGUUUGUUAAGUCAGAUGUGAAAGCCCCGGGCUCAACCUGGGAAUUGCAUUUGAUACUGGCAGGCUNGAGUGUGGUAGAGGGGNGUGGAAUUCCGGGUGUAGCGGUGAAAUGCGUAGAUAUCCGGAGGAACACCAGUGGCGAAGGCNGCUNCCUGGNCCAACACUGACGCUGAGGNGCGAAAGCGUGGGGAGCAAACAGG